UAAUAACCUCUCCAUGAGGUGCAGUUCGGAUGAGCUGGACCAUAUCAUCUGCCUAUUCUAGUCCAUUUUGUAUGAAAUGAAAUAGGUCUGCUCAACCUUUGUUGAGGGAAUUGUGCUGCUUCGUUUGGGUCUCAUGGUCGAAGGCCAAGAGCGUCAACCAAAAUCUGUUCCCAGGAGAAAUUUCAAAUGGAAGCCACCCCCCUUUGACUCUUUCAAACUCAAUGUUGAUGCUUCAGUCCUUGGCGGGGAGAGUCCCUUAAUCCACAUGGGGAAAUUUUUAUGCUCAUAGUUUGGCAUUCAUUACCAGGUUUGCUCACAGGUCAUCACCAAGGCAAAUCUUUGUUGAGGGAAUUGUGCUGUUUCGUUGGGGUCUCGUGGUCAAAGCCAAAAGCAUCAACCAAAAUCUGUUCUCAGGUGAAAUUUCAAAUUGAAUCUUAUGUUGAAUAUUACAGACCAAAAAAUUGAAUAUUACAGACCAUCGGAAGAUAUCAAAUGCUUGUUGAUUGCCUUCUGUUAUAAUAUUCCACAAUUCUUCGAGAUUAAGCUUGUCGUACUCGUAUACCAGUAUUCAACCUUCUUCCAGUGACAUAAGUUCCAGUGUCACUUCCAUGCUUGGCCUUGUGUCUGUUAAUUUGUAAAAAGGGAAGAAAGGAGAAGGUAUUUGACCCUAAAAGAAUGAAAUAUUGAGUAGUGCCAUUGGAAAACGUUAACAGAAUGCCUUGUGCAAGUAGCACGAGAACUUUAAAAGUAAUUUUGUUCUAUAAUGACUCAAAAAGUCCUCGAAAUAUCUCAAAAUCCUUGUCCAUAGAAUCCCUAGUGCAACGAGAAUGGGUCUAGGUAGCCUAGGGUCCACAUCGUUAAUUUAGUGUACGGCUAUCAUAUUUAUUUGCAGAGUUAUUAUGCAUAAUAUAUACCGUGUGUUUUACAUGCGUGAGGAUUAGCUUGCCGGCUUAUUAGGUGAUAUUGCACUUAAAAAACUACAUCAUUUUUUUUUUCAUCACACGGAUCCUGAUAUGUAAGUAAACUUGUAUCUAUUAUUUCUGCAAUAUAGAGAUUGUGAAUAGCGUGGUCAUUAAGAA